CUUCAGGCUGCAAUCAAACAGUUGUUUAGUACCACAUUAAUAUGUUUGGGGCAGAUUGAAUUAUAGCUAACAUAGUAUACUGUUUGAUUGAAUAUUUGAAAGAAUCAAACCUAAACUAACAUACUGUUUGAUUGAAUAUUUGAAAGAAUCAAACCUAAACUAACAUACUGUUUGAUUGAAUAUUUGAAAGAAUCAAACCUAAACUAACAUACUGUUUGAUUGAAUAUUUGAAAGAAUCAAACCUAAACUAACAUACUGUUUGAUUGAAUAUUUGAAAGAAUCAAACCUAAACUAACAUACUGUUUGAUUGAAUAUUUGAAAGAAUCAAACCUAAACUAACAUACUGUUUGAUUGAAUAUUUGAAAGAAUCAAACCUAAACUAACCAGGUUACCCCAUUCCCAAGCUUGCAGGGUAGGCACUGAAAAAGGUAGAUUGAAAAACAGAACUGUAUUACUAACCUAAAUGAAUGUAUUAUUCUAGUGUUUGUGUUAGAGAUAGGUUUACUGUUCAACAGGAUGAGGUUGGGUUGUUAAGUUUGAAAAUGGCUCUUAAUGAAGCAGUAAUAGGUUACUAUUUUGUCUGUGAUUGUUAAAUUAUUAGCAUGUGUAAAAGCUACAACUGCUAUAUGCUACAUAGUAAUAUUCUAUGUAUCUAUAUAUCUUUCCCUUUGCCCUAAUUAAAGGUUAAAUUCAAUAUCAAUGAAAAAUUUCUGCUCUUAUAAAUUGUCAAAAUGAGUUGUAGCCUAUUCCUAACUGAUCAGAAUUAGUUUGCAUCCUGAGAACACGUGAUUGAUGUAGUAUUUGUUUCAAUAGGCUAGAAAUUUAUCAUUUAAAUCAACACAAGGUUAUGUUAGCCAGUCAUUCAUUACAUGUGUUUUUCUUUAGUUUGAGACAAGGUUAUGUUAGCCAGUCAUUCAUUACACAUGUUUUUCUUUAGUUUGAGACAAGGUUAUGUUAGCCAGUCAUUCAUUACACAUGUUUUUCUUUAGUUUGAGACAAGGUUAUGUUAGCCAGUCAUUCAUUACACAUGUUUUUCUUUAGUUUGAGACAAGGUUAUGUUAGCCAGUCAUUCAUUACACAUGUUUUUCUUUAGUUUGAGACAAGGUUAUGUUAGCCAGUCAUUCAUUACACAUGUUUUUCUUUAGUUUGAGACAAGGUUAUGUUAGCCAGUCAUUCAUUACACAUGUUUUUCUUUAGUUUGAGACAAGGUUAUGUUAGCCAGUCAUUCAUUACACAUGUUUUUCUUUAGUUUGACACAAGGUUAUGUUAGCCAGUCAUUCAUUACAUGUGUUUUUCUUUAGUUUGAGACAAGGUUAUGUUAGCCAGUCAUUCAUUACAUAUGUUUUUCUUUAGUUUGAGACAAGGUUAUGUUAGCCAGUCAUUCAUUACAUUCAUUUGAGUAGCUUCCAUAACCUUCUCUCGAUGGACAGAAGUGACAAAACAAAUGACUAACAUAACCUGGUCUCAGUGUUACAAAGGGCAGAGCAAGUUAAUAGUGACAGAAAUAAACAUUACAAAAGAUUUAACAAGCGAAGGGACAGGAGUACGCAUUGCUACAGAUGACACAGUAACCCAAGUGUGAUAGGGAUUGUAAUGUUACGGAAGAUAUGGUGACGUAAGUGACGAGGACCGAGCGUUACAGACAGCGUAGUGACUUAAGCAUGACAGGGAUUGUAGAAAGAUUGUAGAAUGAUUGUAUAAAAAAAGAUACAGUAACUCAGCAGUGACAUAGAUACGUAAUGUUACUGAGGACAUGGUAACUUACGUAUGAUGAGGAUCGUAAUGUUGCAGAUGAACUAACAAUAAUUUAAGUGUCAGAAUUCAUCAUGUUACAAAUGGCAUAUUAAUUUUAGUGGCAUGGAUCAGAAUGUUACAAAAUAUAUACGUAUAUUAAGCGGCACGGAUCGUAAUGUUACAAGAUACAUGGUACCCACACCGAUAUGUAUACGUAAUGUUAAAUGACAUAGUAACUUAAAUUAAAUGGAUAUAUUACGCUAAAAAAGCUUAGUAGCCAAAGUGACAUGUAUACGUAAUGUUACAAAUGGCAUAGUAACAAAUAAAAUGGAUACGUAAUGUUAACAAGACUUACUAACCGCAGUGAAUGAAUGCGUAAUGUUAACAAAACUUAGUAACCAAAGUGACAUAUACAUAAUGUUAGGGAUGACACAGUAACUUAAAUAUAAUGGUUAGUAAUGUUAACAAGACUUAGUAACCAAAGUGACAUAUACGUAAUGUUAGGGAUGACACAGUAACUUAAAUAUAAUGGCUAGUAAUGUUCAUAGCUGGGUGUUAUCGCGAUAAGUUAUCGUGAUACUUUAUCGCUGAUAACAAAAUCGGGUUAUCAGCCAUCCGUUACUUAAUUAUUUAAAUAUAUAUCAGUAUCUUCGUUACUUUUGUAGCCAAACUUGCGAUAAUCGCUACUUUUUUCCGCCUCAGGAAAAAAAAAGUCUCCUCCCUACUGCGCAUGCGUGGCCCGGGUGCCCGGUGUUGUAUGAAAAAACUUCGGGGUAUGAAAUAUCUUCGGUGAAGAGAUUUCAUACUUAGAUCAUUAACAUUGAAACACUAGGUUAUUUUUUAUGUUAGACUAAAAAAUCAGAGAGAAAAAUCAUUUAACUUUGCCCCAAAAAUGAUUAUUCACUGCCUCAAAUUUGAUGUUCCAUAUUCGUUUGUGAGCAUGCCAUGGUAUUAUUAAAGGCACCCGGUGUUGUGUUAUUUGAUGUCCCAUCGUCAAAAGCUGGCGGUUUUGUUUACAAACACUGGUCUCU